rnacentral:hammerhead_ribozyme from 1 species
AUCCAGCUGACGAGUCUGAAAUAGGACGAAACGCGCGUUUUGGAU